CUCAAGCCCAGAAGUCUACACAGCAAAGAAACAGCCCCACAGGCUGAGCCCCAUGAGCCUGAGUCGGCUGGCACGGGCCAGGCAUGGGUGUCUAGUUGCUAUUCAGUCAUACCCCUCAGAGGGUUGGAGUGGACUAUAAGCUUAGGAGCCCUGAACCAGAGUCCUGAUGAACUGUUUGUUACAAUGAUUGUCCCCUUUUAAUCAGGUUUCUGGGGGAGGAUAGAAUUGUGUUAAAAAUGUGUCCUUCUUGCACUGGGCAGUUAAAGUGAAUCAGUUCCUGCUCUAUUUGGAGAAAUUAAAGUGAUGCACACCUGCAGUGCUAAAUUGGGCCACGAGGAGGUGAUAAGCAUUUACUUUUAAAUCAGCUAGAUCUGCUCCAGUGGACCAAGAUUGCCUUUCCUGCCUGAUGUACAGCGACAUAUGUGGCAAAUACCUGGCAUGACACUGAUGGAAAUACCAUGUGUAAUCUAUUAUCAGUUUUCAUUGCAUCGGAAAGAUAGUCACUUGAAGGGAAAGCAGAGAAGGAAAGGCGAGCCUAAUUUCUUGAAAGGUACUGGCAUCAAGGAAUUUGGAGAAGAAAAACAAACUUUCUGGCUAACAAGAAUGACGGAGGUUGGGUGACCACAUCUUCCCUGGAUGUCAGGGAGGAAUGAUACGAAUGAGGCAGAAUGUCUCCAUUCCAGGUGCCCCAAAUAGCGAUUUGCUGAGUUUUCAUCCUCUCUGCCUACAAAGGCAGAAGAAGUGAUC